AAUCAACGCUGGCGGCGUGCCUCAGACAUGCAAGUCGAACGCGAAAGGCCCCUUCGGGGGCCCGGUAGAGUGGCGCACGGGUGAGUAACACGUAGGUAAUUUGCCUUCGGGUGGGGAAGUAACAGCCGGAAACGGCUGCUAAUACCGCAUAAUGCAGCGGCUCGACAUCGAGACAGUUGUUAAAGCGGGGGAUCGCAAGACCUCGCGCCUGAAGAGAAGCCUGCGGCAGAUAGCUUGUUGGUGAGGUAAUGGCUCACCAAGGCGACGAUCUGUAACCGGCCUGAGAGGGCGGUCGGUCACACUGACACUGACAUACGGGUCAGACUCC
rnacentral:rRNA from 1 species